CUACGUAGGUGGCAAGCGUUGUCCGGAAUUACUGGGUGUAAAGGGUGCGUAGGCGGCCUUGCAAGUCAGAUGUGAAAGAUCACGGCUUAACUGUGGUAAGCAUUUGAAACUGUAAGGCUUGAGUGCAGGAGAGGAGAGUGGAAUUCCUAGUGUAGCGGUGAAAUGUGUAGAUAUUAGGAAGAAUAUCAGUGGCGAAGGCGGCUCUCUGGACUGCAACUGACGCUGAGGCACGAAAGCGUGGGGAGCAAACAGGAUUAGAUACCCUGGUAGUUCACGCUGUAAACGAUGAGUGCUAGGUGUCGGGGGUCAUACCUCGGUGCCGCAGUUAACGCAUUAAGCACUCCACCUGGGGAGUACGGCCGCAAGGCUGAA
rnacentral:rRNA from 1 species